rnacentral:rRNA from 1 species
CAACGGAUCUCUUGGUUCUGGCAUCGAUGAAGAACGCAGCGAAAUGCGAUAAGUAGUGUGAAUUGCAGAAUUCAGUGAAUCAUCGAAUCUUUGAACGCACAUUGCGCCCCUUGGUAUUCCAUGGGGCAUGCCUGUUCGAGCGUCAUU